CAGCGACGGACACAAAGCGGAGAAAAGGAUCAGAUGUUCAGAGCGUCAUCGCGCUCGUUUGUGUUUGAACGCAGCUCAUCAGUAAACGCUUGUGUCGUUAAUGCUGAGCAGAUCUCGGCGCUGUUCGGUGGAUUUAUGUCUCCCCGCGGACGCGCGCGGCACGUCGUCCUCCAUCAGCCGCGGCGCUGCACUUCAUUAAACGCGCAUUCUUCUUCUGUGAGCUCAGACGCGCGCGCUGACGCUGGGGACGCGUGUGAUUCGCGCCCGAGGAGCGCCAGCGCGAUAUUUACUGCCGCUGCACCGCAGAAAACAGCACUAAAACAUCAUCGACGAUGACAGACACGAGCCCCAGCGCCGCGGCAGCAGAGCGCAAUUAUCAGACGCGCCGCGGGCACCGGACGCGCCGCUGCAGCAUGAGAGCGUCAAACCACCAGAGACGCGACUGUAAUGAGACGAGAACAAACAGCAGCCCAGGGAGCGUUAGAUCACACUGACCAGACGGGAAAAACACACACGCACAGGACCGGAUCCGUUCACACCUCGCUCUCGGCUCCUUUAUCAUCUCUAUAUGAAGAGUUUGGCCACUAAUUAAUUCUAAUAAUAAUAAAUAUAACUGCAACUAGAUUACCGAGGUUCAAGCGCUUUAAGGCAGUUAGGCAUGUAGCAAGCCUUUUUUUCCCCCCACAUACUGUGCGUUUCCACUGGCAUGUAGGGAGCGGAGCGAGCGUUUUCCAUUCAUUCCUAUGCAUUAUGUGCAUUAUGGGAUUGAAAGCGGCACGGAGAAAGCGUUGAGAGCAGCUGAGAGCGUCAAAAAGGUUUGGCAUUCCUCAACUUCAUGCAAAUCACGAGUGAAAAAAGCCAGAUGGUGGAUUAUUGAGCAGAAAUCACAUAUGAUUAAAAAAGUCAUGCAAAAGUAAAUGCACUUUGCAUGCUUGCAUUAUAUGCCAUGGUGCCCUAGAUAGCAAAUAAAGUGUUUAGUUUGCGAACCGCCGUUAAAAGAAGGAUGUAAACAUUGUUUUCAGAGGCGUGCUCUGCCCUUCAUUUCACACGCCCCAAAGCAGUGGCGUUGUAGUGUUGCCAGCGGCACUGAGCGCAGAUUUGACGCUGUAGUGGAAACACACCGUUAGGCUUUAGAGGAUUUGGGGUGAAUUUUGGACAGGCUCCUUUUCUAAUCAAUCUCAUUAGAGCUUCCCAAAGGGUAAAUUUCAACAUUUUUUUGAUAAUUAUUGACCUAGAGAGUCUGAGAGAACUGCACUGUGGUGGUUUUUCCAGAUUGAGCAGAAAACCUAGGACUUGAUCGACAAACGAUUUGACUGACAGCAGUGGUUCUAGAGGCAAA